GAAUUCACAUCGGGGAACUCCACAGCUGAAUCACAAAAACCUUGGGAGGAGGAGGAAGAGGAGAAAGAAGAAAGAAGUCUUCUUGACAAGACACAGGGACACAUCCCCAUAUUCAUUUCAGCUACUGCACCCUGCUCUCAACUCUGGACAGCAUGACUCAGAGUCACACUGUGCUUCUGGCCACAAAGACGAGCUUCUGUGGUCACAAAAGAUGUUAACAGCUCGUGUUGGGUUGCAGCUGGUGAUGUUGUCUCCUUGUCUGAGUCUUUUCAUGCUCACUCCCAUCUCUGCGCCUUUUCUUCCCUGGCCCAUCACCUCACUUGCCCUUUGUCCUCUCCGUCCUAGUCAUUGAAUUCAGCUAGAACAGCUAUAUCUGAAGUGCCUGAGAGAGCUGGCCCCUGAAUAUUGCCAUUUUGGCAUCCUUUUCUUUAGAGAUGGCAUGUCUCACAGUGUGUGGC
rnacentral:lncRNA from 1 species